CAACUUUCGACAACGGAUNUNUUGGUUCUCCCAUCGAUGAAGAACGCAGCGAAAUGCGAUAAGUAAUGUGAAUUGCAGAAUUCAGUGAAUCAUCGAAUCUUUGAACGCACCUUGCGCUCCUUGGUAUUCCGAGGAGCAUGCCUGUUUGAGUGUCAU
rnacentral:rRNA from 1 species